GGCUGCUGCAUGAAGACAGAUUUAAAUGGCUUGGAAGAAUAAGGUUGCCCUACUUGCAGAACGUACUUCCAGACUGUGGCAGCCAGAGAAGGCAACAGACUGAACAUGAUAGGGAGCACCACCCAUCACUGUUUGCCAAAAGUUCAAGUUUUAAGAACCAGCCAUUCUGCGGUGCCCGAGUUGAACCACUUUCCAGGCUGUGGUACCUCUUUUUUUCAGAGGAAACAUGCAAAAAAAAAAAAAAAAAAAAAAGCAAUUCAAAACCAAGGCACUCAGCUGGGGGCUUGUAAGUAUCCCCACUCCCACCCCACCGCUUUCUACCUAAGCAGCUCCGGAGUAGGAGAGAGUCCAGCACCUCUCCAGAAGUGGGGUUCCAGAGCCUAAGCUGUGCGUCAAGAUUACUGUCAGCAAUGCUGGUGCCAGAACCUGUCAGAGAGUUUGUCUUCACGCUAAUUUGCAAUUGUGGAUAUUAUAUUUCGACACAGCAAUGAUGGAUGGUGACGAGCCAAACAUCUCAAGUAUGAGCAGACUGCUGCCUCAACUAAAAAGGAGAAUUGCAUUCAUUUUUAAGGUGUUCCUGUAAUGUGUUGUGCUAUGUACAUGAAAGCAUUGAUAACUACUCAAAAAGAGAAGAUUUUCUGUCUGGUACAGUGGAAAGGUUGUAUUAUUGGGACACUGGUUUUUAAACCUUUGUGCCAUGCCUUUUUUAAAUUAAGUGUUCUUAAA